GGAAUAUUGGACAAUGGGCGCAAGCCUGAUCCAGCCAUGCCGCGUGUGUGAAGAAGGCCUUCGGGUUGUAAAGCACUUUCAGCGGGGAGGAAGGGUGUUGUGUUAAUAGCACAGCAUUUUGACGUUACCCGCAGAAGAAGCACCGGCUAACUCCGUGCCAGCAGCCGCGGUAAUACGGAGGGUGCAAGCGUUAAUCGGAAUUACUGGGCGUAAAGCGCACGUAGGCGGUAUGUUAAGUUGGAUGUGAAAGCCCCGGGCUCAACCUGGGAAUUGCAUUUAGAACUGGCAGGCUAGAGUCUUGGAGAGGGGAGUGGAAUUCCAGGUGUAGCGGUGAAAUGCGUAGAUAUCUGGAGGAACAUCAGUGGCGAAGGCGACUCCCUGGCCAAAGACUGACGCUCAUGUGCGAAAGUGUGGGUAGCGAA
rnacentral:rRNA from 1 species